AGCUACUACGGUAGUGAAGUCAUUGAUGCCAUGCUUCCAGGAAAAGCCUCUAAGCUUCAGAUUGUAAGGAAUCGUACCCCAAACCGACACAGGUGGUCGGGUAGAGAAUACCAAGGCGCUUGAGAGAACUCGGGUGAAGGAACUAGGCAAAAUGGUACCGUAACUUCGGGAGAAGGUACGCUCUUGAUGGUGAAGUCCCUCGCGGAUGGAGCUGAUGAGAGUCGCAGAUACCAGGUGGCUGCAACUGUUUAUUAAAAACACAGCACUGUGCAAAAUCGUAAGAUGACGUAUACGGUGUGACGCCUGCCCGGUGCCGGAAGGUUAAUUGAUGGGGUUAGCGUAAGCGAAGCUCUUGAUCGAAGCCCCGGUAAACGGCGGCCGUAACUAUAACGGUCCUAAGGUAGCGAAAUUCCUUGUCGGGUAAGUUCCGACCUGCACGAAUGGCGUAAUGAUGGCCACGCUGUCUCCACCCGAGACUCAGUGAAAUUGAAAUCGCUGUGAAGAUGCAGUGUACCCGCGGCUAGACGGAAAGACCCCGUGAACCUUUACUACAGCUUGGCACUGAACAUUGAACCUACAUGUGUAGGAUAGGUGGGAGGCUUUGAAGACGUGACGCUAGUUGCGUUGGAGCCGUCCUUGAAAUACCACCCUUGUAUGUUUGAUGUUCUAACUUAGCCCCGUUAUCCGGGGUGAGGACAGUGCCUGGUGGGUAGUUUGACUGGGGCGGUCUCCUCCCAAAGAGUAACGGAGGAGCACGAAGGUGGGCUAAUCACGGUUGGACAUCGUGAGGUUAGUGCAAUGGCAUAAGCCCGCUUAACUGCGAGAAUGACGGUUCGAGCAGGUGCGAAAGCAGGUCAUAGUGAUCCGGUGGUUCUGUAUGGAAGGGCCAUCGCUCAACGGAUAAAAGGUACUCCGGGGAUAACAGGCUGAUACCGCCCAAGAGUUCAUAUCGACGGCGGUGUUUGGCACCUCGAUGUCGGCUCAUCACAUCCUGGGGCUGAAGUCGGUCCCAAGGGUAUGGCUGUUCGCCAUUUAAAGUGGUACGCGAGCUGGGUUUAGAACGUCGUGAGACAGUUCGGUCCCUAUCUGCCGUGGGCGUUGGAAGAUUGAAGGGGGCUGCUCCUAGUACGAGAGGACCGGAGUGGACGAACCUCUGGUGUUCGGGUUGUGUCGCCAGACGCAUUGCCCGGUAGCUAAGUUCGGAAUCGAUAACCGCUGAAAGCAUCUAAGCGGGAAGCGAGCCCUGAGAUGAGUCUUCCCUGAUACUUUAAGUAUCCUAAAGGGUUGUUCGAGACUAGAACGUUGAUAGGCAGGGUGUGUAAGCGUUGUGAGGCGUUGAGCUAACCUGUACUAAUUGCCCGUGAGGCUUAACCAU
rnacentral:rRNA from 1 species